rnacentral:pre_miRNA from 1 species
CUAUAUAUACCCUGUAGAACCGAAUGUGUGUGGAGCAGCCCUGGUCACAGAUUGGGUUCUAGGGGAGUCUAUGGG